GCUUUGUCUCCAAGUAGGAAAGUUCUUGAAGUUUCCCUGAGCAGAGAAAUGACACGAUGUGAUCCGGUUCAUAAAUAAAUGCUCAGUCCAGAGCAACAACAGUGGAAGCUGAAUAGCCAGUGAGGAAACCAUCCGGAUGCUUCCACCGGUAGCAGCCAAUGAAGAUGCUGCCCUGGUGUUUCCAUGGCAGCAGCCAAUGAGAAAGCUUCUGCGGUGUUUCCACUGUGAUCGCCCAAUGACAAUGCUGCCCUGUUGUUUCUAAUGAGAGAAGUGAGGGCUCAGAUUACCGGAUAUGUCACAGACGUGGAACACGCCGGAUUUGCUCAUGGAUCACAAGUGAAAGAAGGAAAAAACUCAGGGAUGCAUUCAAAGCAGAGAACCAUAGAAUGGCAAGAAUCGUGGGACGUGUAAAUGAUACCAUGAAGGGAGUGAGCGAUGGACCAGAGUAAGAAUAAUAAGUUCUCUCUGCAAAGUAUGCACGUGCAACAGGACAAGAGAAGGAAAUUCAAGACUCAGUGAAAAUUAACAGUCUAAAGUAGCCAGCAUUGCUGCGGAUUAUAUGGCCGGAGAACCCAAAUCGCUCCUUUCAAGUCAAGUCCUGGGUGGGUGCUCUGGCUCCAAGCUUCAAACUUAAAGAUCCAAGAUUCCUGAAACUCAGAAAAUCUCUAUGAGUGAAAGUCAACUUCCUCUUUAAGUCUUCCCCGGGCACACGUAUUUCAUGUUGUGGCUGUCGUUGACCAAAAUGACAGAUAUCGGAUGAAUUACUCCUUUUCUGAGAAGCACAAUGCUUUGUAUACUAAUUAGGAUGUUUGGAAUGGAAUCAGAAAAGGCUGGGAGUGUAAAGAAAAGGGAAAAAAAUGUUGCUAUUAGAGUGUAGAGGGCAA